UUCAAAUGCUUAGCUGCCUAUAAAGCUGUAACAGUUUAGCCUGUGGCCACUGAGGGAAGAAUAUAAGUUAAGCUCUGUAGUGACCAUGUGGAAGUCCUGACCUUGCUUGCAGACUUGACCUCUGGAUAUGACAAGGUAAGGUUCUGUGAUCAUGAUACUUCCCCCUCACUACCCCCGGCUCAUGAAAAGAAGUGCUGAAUCAGCGAACAGAGUGAAGAAACAAUCAAGAUGAGAUGGCUGCUGCUGAUGUGACUCUCUGGGUCACUCUCUCUCUCCCUGCUGCAAAUGCUGCAUGACACUAAGCUUACAGGUUUCAGAAGCAAAUUACAAAAUAUGAAGAAAUUCGCUCUGACGACUAUCAAGAUACACUACACCAGUCUUACCAAUUUCUGAAACACACUGCAAAACUCCACCGAUUCUACGAAUCUCUUGCAAAAAGAACCAAACCAGGACAAAGUUCAACAGAUAACUGGUCACUGUUUAGAAGUAUAUGUCCACCAAGAACAAGGAACCAUAAAUGGCACUAAUAAUGUCAUGCUUCAGGUAAAUCUGUCAUCAAGUUUAGUCUUUGACAGUCUCUGCAAAUGAUCUACCAUUGUUCUACAUCUGUAAGCUGAAUGUUUUACUAACAAAUGGGAAAAUAAAACAUUUCAUGUUUUUACAGCUAAGAACUUAGUAAUACCUACUCAGAGUACAUACUUCUUUAUGUACCCAUAUGAACAUACAAUGCUAUGGAAUGUAAAGAAGUAUGUAUUUUUGGUAGGCAAUAAACUGCCAGGAGGGAACUAAACUGCCCCUGCUUCUUUCUAGGUGAAUGACCUUCAUACGAGAAAUUAACCUAGCAUCAAAGAGACAACCUUUGGUAAUACUAACACCAUUAAAUGUACCUACUACUUACAGAUGGAAACUAAAUGUCACUAAGAUUUACAUUUUGUGAAGAAAGAGAGUUCUACUGACAUAGAUUUAAAAUCAUCACGAAACUCCUUUUAAAUCUUUUAAGUUUAAAACAUACUACAUUUUACAUUUUUAAAUUAAGCACUCAUGAUUAAAAAUUUGAACACAAAGGAGAAAACAGUAUUACUAGCACAAAAGAAUGAGGGAUACACAUGACCUAUCUUCUGUUUCCACAAUUUGACCUUAAUUUAAUUAUGUCAUAUUAGUAGGGUCGACUGAUCUGUUAAGAAAAACAAGAUAUAACAAAAGCUGACCUCAUUUACAUUUUUACAGCUAUUGACAUUUUGAUAAAUUUAUCAUUUAAUAAUAUUAGAGGGAUUUCUGAAGCAAGUUUUGUAAAACGGUUUUCUUUUUCGAAAGCUAUAUGUCAUAAUUCUAAGACUAUCUUUUAAGUAAAAUUCCACUCCCAAAGAAAAAAGAAAAGUGGUCCUUGUCCUCUUCAAGUUUAUCAGAUCCUUAACCCAGUCUCCACUUUAAAUGCUAAGUUAGUACUUAGAAUAAAUUAAAACAUAAGAUUGACGCAUGAAAAAUGAAAAAAUUUGGGCCACAGCUAUAAGUCAACAGGGCAUGUUGGUAACAGACUGGCAAAUAUUUUUUUAAAAUUUAAUUUAUUAUCUAUAUUAUCCUUGAAUUUACUUUCUCCAAAGGGGACACACAAAAUGAAAACACUAUAGUCAAGAAAUCAAUUUACACAGAUAAAAUAACCAUCUUUUACUGGUAUUAUGCAACUACAAUUCAAUUUUUAUAAAUGUGAUAGAUCCACUAUUUAUAGUAUGUUAGAAAUAUCAAAAUACUUUUUAUACAAAAUUUAUUUUGUAUAACAUUUAUAUAUUAAUAAAAUUAUACAUAAUAGAUACUAGCAACAACUUAUAAGCAGUAUCUGUUUUAAGCUAUGAUAGACUUAGAAAAUACAAAUUCUAAUACUAAUAUUCAUAUAUCCUAAUCAUUUCUUACUAAAAGUAUUAUUUCAACUGGAAUAUUUAAAUGUGUGUAAAAAGCAUAAUCAUUUUUAAAAUUUUUUGUGUCACAAGUUGAAUAGAAAUGGCUAGAAGGUUAACUAUAGUUACUUUUCUCUCUGUUUAAUAAGAUAACUAGAUAGUUAACUGUCAAAAGAUGAUUUUCAUUUUAUCAGCAAAUUAUAAAGAAUGAGAGAAUGACUAUUAGAUACGGUAGCAUAUAAAUUAUUGUAUGUUUACAGAAAUUAUAAAAAGCUCAUUAUUUAAAAAUUGUAUAUUUUCAAAGAAAAAAUUAGUUCAAAGCUUAACUCACUGAAGCAUAGCCGUUUUCUUUUUGGUCAUCCACAAACAGAAUGGGAAUGCUUCAUAUUCCAUUCAAGUUUAACUGUACAUGCCCUAAAUACCAAAAUCUGAAAAUACAUAUCUCAAAAGUAGAGAUUCCUCUAUAAAACUACUCAAAGGGUAUUACUAUACCCAUGUUUUAUAAUGAACAACUAUAUUCGUUAUUCUAUAGGUAUAAAGGUUUUUAAUAAUUACUUUAAAAUACCUCAGCGCCUAAGAAUCCUGUGGCUAUAAUAUUAAGAGUAUAUAAUCCUUAGAAAAACAAAACGACAGCAUCUGUUAUUCAUUUAAAAAAAAUAAAAUUCUCUACUGACUCUAGUGUUUACAAGUUUAAUUUAACACAUCUAAGAGUACUUUCAAUCACUCCAAAAUGUCACACCCAUCACUUAGAUCAGCUGUUCAUUUUUAACUGAGUACAUAUUAAACCCUGGGCAUCUGCUGACACUGGUGUAACUCAAACAUUUCAAUGUCUCUCUGACAGGGAUAACAGAUGCUGACAUUAUCAAAUGCUGUACUAUUUUUUUUUCCAUGGCCUCUCCUUGCCCCGAUAUGGCCAGUAUACGAAACUGAAGUGCUAUCCAAAAGGACACUUGAGCAACUGGAUCUGCUAAACAGCUCCCCUGUAACUAGUAAAAAUAGAAGCCAGUUUUACUGCUAUCUUCAGCACUUAAGUCCAGGCAAUUUAACACCUGCUUCACUUCUAUUAGAAUAAAUGAUGGAAAGAACUGUAGUUACAUUAAUUUCACCAAUAGCAAGAUACUUACCAACCAACAGAUGCAGAAUAUACUUAAUAUGAGAAUUGUUUGAAUACUGCCUGAAUUAGUGUUGACCUUCUCCCAGUUUAGUUCCAAACAGUAACUAUUUCUUUACUCUUUACAUUUCACUGGGAGCAUUUACCUAAUAGGCAAACUAUAAUUUCUCAAACUUUUAUUUUAAGCAAGUAUAUUUCAGAAGAAAUCCCUUCUCAAUAUUGAAAUGCAACACUGAAAUCACAUUAUAACAAAAACCUGCUAUACUGAGUUUUAAUGGCAGAUUUUAACAUUCAAAUUCAUGGAUUGUAGCUAACCACCACAAGUCCAUGUAUUAUUAAGCUGAGAAUGAGAAGUAACUAAGCAAUCUGUACCCAAAAUGACAGAGAAUUCAGUCAAUGAAAUAGAUCUUUAAAGGGUUAAAUUACUAACCGAUGAUUAGUAACACUACAUAAGCAAAAACAAAGAAAAAUAAGCUGGCACACAUCGUAGUUCCUUUCAACACAAGUCCAAGGAAUACACUGACUACACGUGUGAUCUAUUUAUAAACCAAAGGGCAGAGGUACUUUCUUAAGGCCACUCAUAUUCCUCCACCCCGUCAGCAACUUGCUAUUAGUCCUCAAGUAAAACACCAAAAAAAGCAGCAGCGGUAGAAAAGUAUGACUAGCAGUACUCUUCCCUAACCUAUUAGCUUAUUUACUUGGUUUACUGCCUUGAGAUAAAUGGAAAACAUCACUCUGAAACACAUCAAGGUCUAUUUGUUCCUUUAAAUGUUGUUGGUUUUGAAAUAGGUUUACUGUCUACAUUUAAGAAUUAAGCAAAGGUGUCCAAAAAAAGGAUGUACAUUGAUAAUUCUUUAAUGCAUUAACAAUGUAUUAAAUGGUAAAGACUUCUGCACUAUUAGAGUAGGAAACAGUAGGAAAAGUGUGUUUAAAAUAGAAAAUUUUACAUUCAAUGACUUAAGUACCAAUACGAGAAUCUCUAACAUUAGUAGAUGGUCCAUAAUCAUAAUUUUACAAAUAAAAUGCAUUUUAACUGUUCUGGAUCCCAAAGUGGCAGCACUGCAAUGCUUUGCUAGAGCUGGUAAAAUGGAACCAAAUCGCCUCUUCAAUGGAUUUGGUCCCCUUCAACCAGCUGUAGCUAUGCAUUGAUUACUACAGGACAACCAAGCGUUUGCAUUUCCGAAUAUCAAUCGGACAUCAACUAAUUUCAACUUAUUUAAAUUAUUCAGACUGUGGUUUAAAUCAAAUAAUUUGUUCCUGUUAAUUCUACUUGGAAGAGUCAUAAUGGUCAACAAUGUUUAUAAAAAGCUUUAUGAAAAAUAUGUGGAUAACUUAAGGAUUUCAAAUAAAACAAUUAUACUUAUA